rnacentral:rRNA from 1 species
ACGUGAUCUGAGUUCAGACCGGAGUAAUCCAGGUCAGUUUCUAUCUAUAAAGGGCUCUUUCUAGUACGAAAGGACCGAAAAAGCAUGGCCAAUAACCUCUUAUGCCAUAUAAACAACUUAUGACUCCAACUUAAUUGGUAAAUAACCUAACACCGACCUCAAGAUAAGAGAA